GUGAGGAAUAUUGGACAAUGGGCGCAAGCCUGAUCCAGCCAUGCCGCGUGCAGGAAGACGCAUCUAUGGUGUGUAAACUGCUUUUGUAUGGGAAGAAACACUCCCUCGUGAGGGAGCUUGACGGUACCGUAAGAAUAAGGAUCGGCUAACUCCGUGCCAGCAGCCGCGGUAAUACGGAGGAUCCAAGCGUUAUCCGGAAUCAUUGGGUUUAAAGGGUCCGUAGGCGGUUUAAUAAGUCAGUGGUGAAAGCCCAUCGCUCAACGAUGGAACGGCCAUUGAUACUGUUAGACUUGAAUUACAAGGAAGUAACUAGAAUAUGUAGUGUAGCGGUGAAAUGCUUAGAUAUUACAUGGAAUACCAAUUGCGAAGGCAGGUUACUACUUGUGGAUUGACGCUGAUGGACGAAAGCGUGGGGAGCGAACAGGAUUAGAAACCCUAGUAGUCC
rnacentral:rRNA from 1 species